CUUUAAUUUUGAUUUCUCCAGUUUUCCUCUUUAAGGAACUCCUCUGUUGGUGUGGCUGUAUGCUUGUGAACACUGAUAUUCCAAACAGUUAGUUUGGUGGAUUUAUUCCAAUUUUUAGAUUCAAAAUAGCUUCUUUGGCAACUAAGGAAUUCAAAAGUCAUGACAAAUUAUUAAUUCAUAGUUUUCAGAUGAUACACGAAAUUGGAACCACCUGGGGAACCAAAAAUACCCAAUACGGCAAUCGUGGCUCAAGAGUUGGGUGUUCGUCUUGUAAUAGGAAGGUUGCCGGCUCGAGCCCCGGCUCGGACAGUCUCAGUCGUUGUGUCCUUGGGCAAGACACUUCACCUACUGCCUGCUGGUUAUCAUUAAUUAUAUAUCUAAUGUACGCAGAAACAAAUCACUUAUUUGUACCAAACACUAUUCCACAGAUCUGCACAUAAAGAAACUGAAGAAGAAUUGAAAUCAUCCAAAGACAGAGUGGCAGGAGAGGUUGACAUUGCACUACAGGCUGGGAACUCUGAAAACAUGAACAACCCAGUGAAUGAAACCAGACUGAAAGAGAUGUAUAAAGAGCUGAGGAAGGACUGGACUAGAAUCAAGCCUUAUCAGCAGAAAGCUCACAGCACCCCAGAGAGAAUCAAAGCCUGGAUUCAGCGCAGCUUUCUGUGUGGGGCAGGGGAUAUGGAACAGAAGAAGAAACUGAUAGAGUUAGCGUUUACCCUAAAUGCAGACCACGCUCGAGCAUCUAAUAAGGUGGCGGGGGAGGACGCUGGACAGACCCGGUGCACCUAAACGCGUAGUGAGGGUGUGCUGGGAACGUCUAGCAGAGGCCCCAGUCCGCGAGAUCUUCAACGCACACCUCCGGCAGAGCUUCAACAACAUUCCGAGGGAGACUGGGGACAUUGAGUCCGAAUGGACCAUGUUCAGCGUCUCCAUUGCCAAGCUGCUGCAUUGAGCUGCGGCCGCAAGGUGGUUGGUG
ensembl:lncRNA